UAAGUUCUUCGGGGCAGGGUGCAAGUCCCUACCGGCGGUUAUAGUCCGCGACCCGUUUUAAACGGUUGAUUUGGUGAAAUUCCAAAACCGACAGUAUAGUCUGGAUGAGAGAAGAAAUUA
rfam:Clostridium symbiosum WAL-14163 genomic scaffold supercont1.6, whole genome shotgun sequence.